UCCACCGAUGGCUAUUAAGCACAAUAUUUGAUUAGCAGCUUGUUGCAAUAAAGGUGAUCCUUAGUAGGCGGUUCGACGGAUGGAGGGAUUCGGAGGUGGCCAACUAGUAAAAAGUUUAGACUUAUUCUUUUAUAUAAUUUUUAAUAUUUUGGUUUUAAUUUUUUUUUUGAUUUGGGGUGUAAUAAGGCCUUUCCUCUGGUUAUUAUUUCAAAUUAGGAUUAUUAUUAUUUUUAUGCUUUAUAUUUGUUAGAAGUAGAACAUGGUUUUUCCUAAA